GGUUAAGUUAGAAAGGGCGCACGGUGGAUGCCUUGACACUAGGAGUCGAUGAAGGACGGGACUAACGCCGAUAUGCUUCGGGGAGCUGUAAGUAAGCUUUGAUCCGAAGAUUUCCGAAUGGGGGAAACCCACCAUACGUAAUGGUAUGGUAUCCUUAUCUGAAUACAUAGGGUAAGGAAGACAGACCCAGGGAACUGAAACAUCUAAGUACCUGGAGGAAGAGAAAGCAAAUGCGAUUUCCUGAGUAGCGGCGAGCGAAACGGAACAUAGCCCAAACCAAGAGGCUUGCCUCUUGGGGUUGUAGGACAUUCUAUACGGAGUUACAAAGGAACGAGGUAGACGAAGCGACCUGGAAAGGUCCGUCGUAGAGGGUAACAACCCCGUAGUCGAAACUUCGUUCUCUCUUGAAUGUAUCCUGAGUACGGCGGAACACGUGAAAUUCCGUCGGAAUCUGGGAGGACCAUCUCCCAAGGCUAAAUACUCCCUAGUGAUCGAUAGUGAACCAGUACCGUGAGGGAAAGGUGAAAAGCACCCCGGAAGGGGAGUGAAAGAGAUCCUGAAACCGUGUGCCUACAAAUAGUCAGAGCCCGUUAACGGGUGAUGGCGUGCCUUUUGUAGAAUGAACCGGCGAGUUACGAUCCCGUGCGAGGUUAAGCUGAAGAGGCGGAGCCGCAGCGAAAGCGAGUCUGAAUAGGGCGUUUAGUACGUGGUCGUAGACCCGAAACCAGGUGAUCUACCCAUGUCCAGGGUGAAGUUCAGGUAACACUGAAUGGAGGCCCGAACCCACGCACGUUGAAAAGUGCGGGGAUGAGGUGUGGGUAGCGGAGAAAUUCCAAUCGAACCUGGAGAUAGCUGGUUCUCCCCGAAAUAGCUUUAGGGCUAGCCUUAAGUGUAAGAGUCUUGGAGGUAGAGCACUGAUUGGACUAGGGGUCCUCAUCGGAUUACCGAAUUCAGUCAAACUCCGAAUGCCAAUGACUUAUCCUUAGGAGUCAGACUGCGAGUGAUAAGAUCCGUAGUCAAAAGGGAAACAGCCCAGACCGCCAGCUAAGGUCCCAAAGUGUGUAUUAAGUGGAAAAGGAUGUGGAGUUGCUUAGACAACUAGGAUGUUGGCUUAGAAGCAGCCACCAUUUAAAGAGUGCGUAAUAGCUCACUAGUCGAGUGACUCUGCGCCGAAAAUGUACCGGGGCUAAAUACACCACCGAAGCUGCGGAUUGAUACCAAUGGUAUCAGUGGUAGGGGAGCGUUCUAAGGACAGUGAAGUCAGACCGGAAGGACUGGUGGAGUGCUUAGAAGUGAGAAUGCCGGUAUGAGUAGCGAAAGACGGGUGAGAAUCCCGUCCACCGAAUGCCUAAGGUUUCCUGAGGAAGGCUCGUCCGCUCAGGGUUAGUCAGGACCUAAGCCGAGGCCGACAGGCGUAGGCGAUGGACAACAGGUUGAUAUUCCUGUACCACCUCUUUAUCGUUUGAGCAAUGGAGGGACGCAGAAGGAUAGAAGAAGCGUGCGAUUGGUUGUGCACGUCCAAGCAGUUAGGCUGAUAAGUAGGCAAAUCCGCUUAUCGUGAAGGCUGAGCUGUGAUGGGGAAGCUCCUUAUGGAGCGAAGUCUUUGAUUCCCCGCUGCCAAGAAAAGCUUCUAGCGAGAUAAAAAGGUGCCUGUACCGCAAACCGACACAGGUAGGCGAGGAGAGAAUCCUAAGGUGUGCGAGAGAACUCUGGUUAAGGAACUCGGCAAAAUGACCCCGUAACUUCGGGAGAAGGGGUGCUUUCUUAACGGAAAGCCGCAGUGAAUAGGCCCAAGCGACUGUUUAGCAAAAACACAGCUCUCUGCGAAGCCGUAAGGCGAAGUAUAGGGGGUGACACCUGCCCGGUGCUGGAAGGUUAAGGAGAGGGGUUAGCGUAAGCGAAGCUCUGAACUGAAGCCCCAGUAAACGGCGGCCGUAACUAUAACGGUCCUAAGGUAGCGAAAUUCCUUGUCGGGUAAGUUCCGACCCGCACGAAAGGUGUAACGAUUUGGGCACUGUCUCAACCAGAGACUCGGUGAAAUUAUAGUACCUGUGAAGAUGCAGGUUACCCGCGACAGGACGGAAAGACCCCGUGGAGCUUUACUGUAGCCUGAUAUUGAAUUUUGGUACAGUUUGUACAGGAUAGGCGGGAGCCUUUGAAACCGGAGCGCUAGCUUCGGUGGAGGCGCUGGUGGGAUACCGCCCUGACUGUAUUGAAAUUCUAACCUACGGGUCUUAUCGACCCGGGAGACAGUGUCAGGUGGGCAGUUUGACUGGGGCGGUCGCCUCCUAAAGUGUAACGGAGGCGCCCAAAGGUUCCCUCAGAAUGGUUGGAAAUCAUUCGUAGAGUGCAAAGGCAUAAGGGAGCUUGACUGCGAGACCUACAAGUCGAGCAGGGACGAAAGUCGGGCUUAGUGAUCCGGUGGUUCCGCAUGGAAGGGCCAUCGCUCAACGGAUAAAAGCUACCCCGGGGAUAACAGGCUUAUCUCCCCCAAGAGUCCACAUCGACGGGGAGGUUUGGCACCUCGAUGUCGGCUCAUCGCAUCCUGGGGCUGUAGUCGGUCCCAAGGGUUGGGCUGUUCGCCCAUUAAAGCGGUACGCGAGCUGGGUUCAGAACGUCGUGAGACAGUUCGGUCCCUAUCCGUCGUGGGCGUAGGAAAUUUGAGAGGAGCUGUCCUUAGUACGAGAGGACCGGGAUGGACGCACCGCUGGUGUACCAGUUGUUCUGCCAAGGGCAUAGCUGGGUAGCUAUGUGCGGAAGGGAUAAGUGCUGAAAGCAUCUAAGCAUGAAGCCCCCCUCAAGAUGAGAUUUCCCAUAGCGUAAGCUAGUAAGAUCCCUGAAAGAUGAUCAGGUUGAUAGGUUCGAGGUGGAAGCAUGGUGACAUGUGGAGCUGACGAAUACUAAUAGAUCGAGGACUUAACCAUAUA
rnacentral:rRNA from 1 species